rnacentral:lncRNA from 1 species
AUCAAGUGGUCUUGCAAAAACCUCAGGACACGUCCGUCGCCAGCCCCGAGCGUCAGGGGGGCCAUAGUACCAACUAGAGGGGGCCCACUAUCAUAAAAAUACAAAAAUACACAUGUAUGGCUUUUGCCGUUGGGCGACUAAUUGGUCGCUUUUACUGCUUUUAAGCAGUAAAGCCAAAACAAAAACAAAAAAAAUUGGAUACAAGGGGUGGGGGAUCAGAUGUACUUUCAUCCAAAGUUUUGUGUCUUAAAUUUUCCCCUUGCUUUAUUCAAGUAGCCACUCUCAUCACUUUUUAAGUUCCAACUCCCUACAGAGUUGUAAUGACUCGAGUCGACUCAAUUUUUGGCGACUCAACUCGACUCAAGUCCAAACAGGUUAAACUGACUCAACUCGGCUCAAGUUAAUACUGCAUGCAUAUUACUCGACUCAACUUGAGUCCCUCAUCAGAAGACUCAACUGGACUUGAGUGGAAGGCUAAUAGCACUCGAGUCCCAAAACUGUGCGAAAAUAUAUUUUUGUUGACUUGCAGUACAAAGUUAGUUAUGUUCGUGUACCUUGAUUUACCGUCAAGUAAACCGCUUAUCGUGUACAAAUAUGUGCCCUAUCAUGGACUCCCACAUCAUGGUUUUAAAUGAAUGCACAAAAUACUAUCCUGAACCAGAAUUUAAACACAUUUUGCAAUUCUUGGUUUCAUCAUCGGCUUUGUUAUGUUGUUUAUUAGAUGGUGUUCAUGUGUUAUCAGUGACUCAAAUUGACAUGAGCAUAAAUUUGACUCAACUCAACUCGACACAACAACACACUGUGUCUCGACUUGACUCAACCUUCUUGCCCUAAUGACUUGACUCGACUCAAUCAUUUCCUUAAAAUUACUUGACUCGAUCACAAACUUCAGUGACCUGUUAGUCUAGUUUUUCUACACUUCUGUGGUCCUGAUAAUUUAAAAGCUGUUCCAAAUCUUUUGCUUCCAGGCUCAGGUUCAACUGUUAAAAAAUUGUCUGUCAUCACUGCAAGACAACUAGUUCAAGGUAGGCUCUAAAGAAGAUCCGCUGACAAGUUCAAGGAGAGGAACUCACAGGAAUAAGAAUAUGGGUCUAGAUCGUGGGUGCAGAAUUCUCAAGCGUUAUGGCCAUACUAAGGUUACCUCAAGCUCCACCCUGAAGGAUAUUUUGAGAGCUUUAAGGGGAUCAAAGUGUCAUCUGCAAUAUCAGCCGACAUUUGAAGGAAAAAAAAUAGGGGGGGGGAACCCCUGUAUCACUGCACCACUUUUGGGGCAAGCUCCAUUUCAGAAACCUGAGGCAAUUUUUGUUGUUGGCCUAAGGAUAAAGUACAUGUUAUUGACUGUGAAAAUGUCACCUAGUUUGCAUACUCUAUUCCCACGUUAUGACUAUUUUAAUAAACAGACCACAAAAUUCAGCUGUCCACCACUGAUCAUUAGUGGACAGCUGAAUCUUAUGGUCUGUUUACUAAAAUAUCAUAGGUUUUCAUUGGUUCGUAGAAUAGUAAUUCUACGAACCAAUGAAUAACUUUUAAAUAAAAUUUCCCACCUCCAUGAAACAACGAAAACUUGCAGAGGAAAACAGACAAAAAUCACCAUCAAUAUGGCAUUCCAUAGACAGCUAUAAAAAUAGCUUCUUUUUAGUAAAACAUGCAUAACUUCUGAUAGCAUGAUCAAUUUCAGUAAUGCUUUUUUUUUUCAGAUGAGUGGAAGAACAUGCUCUUUUACGAUAUACUUCAUUUGUGUAUUACAUUUGAUUGAUAUUUAAGAAAGAAAAAAAUUGAUAUUUAAAAAAGAAAAAAAAAAUUAUUCCAGGUCACUUUCUUUUUGACUCACCCUGUAUAUUUACUGAUUUGUAGAGAAGGGAAAUACGUGUAAAAAAAAAUGACUAUUACUAUUUUCUGUUACUAUUUGCUUGUACUUGAGUGAAGGAAAGAAUGGUAUCAGCCAUAAACUCAAUUUUCUUGAGAAACAUUAAAUAGUAUACACAUAUGGACUGGCAAUGAGGUCACUAGAGCACUGUGCCCAGAGGGACUGUGAGUGACCAUAGGACCCUGUUCUGGUCACUCACAGGGCAGAGGGGGCAUAGACAUGCACUUAGUGACCAAAUUAUGCCAGUCCAUAUGUGUUUUUGCACCUCUGUCCUACAUUUAAACUAAAAAAAAACCUUUCAGGGUUUUAUUAUUGAACUGUUUAAAUUCAACAGUUAACUCAUAAGCAAUUCAACUGUAAGCAAUUCAACAAUUAAAGGAACGCUUUUAGUUUCCCUAGAUUAAAUUUUUGAGUUUGAGUUUUGUCGGAGGGCGCUUUUACCAGUCAAAAAUGUUUGAGUAUAGUGCCCGAUCAGGCACUAUACUCUGGAAAUUACGUGCGCGAGAUGUCUUGACGCAUUUGUAGUUCACACUGAUGGAAGUUUCAAACACUAGCCUAUAUUAGCGAGUCACACGUAACCGCGUUUAAGCCAACCAGGACAAAGAACAAGCAAGCAGUGUGUUACAAUUUUGUCUUACCACAUCUCCCUGUUGAUUAUUCAAUUAAAUAGUAUAGUUAGCAGUUAAAAUAUUUGUUUUGUUUUGAUUUAUUAUUUUUUUCAUGUGAAACAAUCGCAAAGUUGUAUCUUUAUCGAAAGCUUCAAGAUCAGACUUUAUAGAGUAGAAGGUUAUUGAUUGUAAAAUAGUAAAAUGUGGAGUUCCCCCAUCAUUCCAAUUUUAUUUUUAAUCACAACACAAUAGGGAGCCCAAUACUUUUUCGAAAAUACUUGGUGAACCAAUUUCCAUUGCGUUUGAGUAGUAAAGGCGUGUUCAUCGGUCCUGAGAAAAUCAUGGAUGUUUGUUAACCAAAUAUUUAAAUAUAAAAACAUGAUUAUGAAAAUCAAUUCUGUUUAUCAUGUUACUAAUGUCAUAGGAGUCAAUACCUCACAGAUUUUAUUAGAAGACAAAUCUAAAGUGUUACAUGUUUUUGUUAAUGAUUUGUGCUGAUAUAUGUAACAUUUGUAUUGAAUAUCUUGCUUUCACAGUAGAUAGUCAGUAGUCUAAGCCUUUCAAGUUACUCUGUUUACAAAGAAGUGUAUAUCUUUUUGUUCAUUAUUUACAAUAAAUUUGCAUUUGCAUUUAAAAUAUUCUAUAUUGUGAACCCAUUUAUAUCAUUUGAUAAAAUAGUUAACAAUUUUAAUAAUUGUAAAACUGUAUUGCAACAUUAGAAUAUCCUUUUGUUGCUCCACAUCAGUGGACCAUGAAAAGAUGACCAUAGAAAACAGGCAGACAACUUGUGACUCACUAGUGAACCUGAAAAGGUUUCACAGACGGCGUUAUUUUUUUUAUUCAGUACUCUUAGUACUCUUACCUAUUCAAGCUACACAAAACAAUUGCCCUCUAAGUCUGCCUGAAUAUAAAUGACCGGAGCUUGAAAAUUAUAAAAAGACAAAUUUGCUUUCUCAAUUCAACCCCAAUCUGCGCAUGGGACAAGUUUCCCAAAAUUUGGACGAAUCUGAAUGCUAUAUUCAUGAAUUGCAGUGGACCAAAUAUGAAUUCACGCCUAGCACCCAAACAGCUCGAUUUGUGAGUCAAAAUUUUGAUGCCUGAAAUUCCUUCUUGCAUGAAUAGCACAAACGGCAAUUUUUAAAGGAUGGUUGUGUGGACAAAUACAGGGCGUCACAAAAAAAAAAGGUAAUCCUACUUUAAAGGGUUAUUAUGGCCCGACUAUAUGUUUACCAGCAAAAAGCUUUAUGCUUUUCAAUGAUACCUUGGGUAACAUUCCAGGGUCACGCAUCAUGGAGCACCAUUGUCUUGAAGUUGUGGUGCAAAAAUGCAGUUGGUUCACUUAUCAUACCUUAUUUUGAAAUAAGCUGUCAUUGAAAAGCACAACGCUUCGGCUUUAAGAUUAUAUCAUGCUUUUUGCUGGAAAAUAUAUAGUCUGGCCAUUAUAACCCUUUAAAGUAGGAUUAGCUUCUUCUUUUUUUAGACACCCUGUACAUGUAUAUUCUACUUCUAAAUCCUCUUUCCAUGACAAUAUCAUUUCAGUUUCCCCAAACAUGCCACUUAUCGCAGCAUAUGAAUGAGAUAUUAAAAACUAUUAUUACAGGAUUUACAAGUUUAA